GUGCUUGACUCGGCAGCACAUAUACUAAAAUUGGAACGAUACAGAUAUUAGCAUGGCCCCCGCACAAGGGUAAUAACACAAAUUUGUGAAGUGUUCCAUGUAAAA
ensembl:snRNA U6 U6 spliceosomal RNA